AAGCAGCCAUCAAGACAUGUGUGAUCAGGUCAGGAUCACGACUAAUUGCAAUCACCUGGGCGUGCGGGCUGGGGGUCAUGGGUACGUAACUUCCUUCCCGACAAACACAAAAGAAGCUCUCCCAAAUUGUUUGGUACGCAAGUUGCUUGUCGCUGGUCGGUACAAACCGCGCACUUCAUGCUGGGUUUUGGUUGCGAACAACUCCCUCGCUGUGGUCUGGGUAGGUGGAAUGUUUCAUGUACUCCUUACACUUUUAAUGUGAGUUGUUGCCACUGCUGUAGACCACGAACGUUUGUCUGACAUGUAGGUAAUAGCAUAAAGUGAGAGUUUGUGUUUAGCCACGUAGUUUGAACACGGGGCAGGUGGUUGUAGUGUCGUAACGUUUGGCUCAUCUUGCUAUAGACUGUCAUCUCCUCCCUACUCCUGUUUCCCUGUGACUACUCCCUCCUCUGCUCCUGUUGCCCUGGGCUAGCUCGCAUUGUGGAAAAGGCCGAGGUAGGCAUUGUUUAUUGUUCUAACAGUGCAACGGUCCUAUUUUAAAUAUGUAUCUGGUACAAUGUUUUCUUUUUUACAUGUCGUUUGACUUAUGAACAAUUAAACUUCAUAAAAACUGUUGUGUAUUGUUAUGAAAUGCGACAUAACCAUGGACCAGGGUGUUAAACGUUUCUCUCUGUUGUAGAUCACAGCUGGCUGUCUAUUACAGUUUGACCACUGUUUUCCCCCAUUAGAGUUUCUUUUGGUAUUAGUCAGUGUUAACCUAACAGCACGUCAAAGUUGGUUGUACAGUAUGCUUGUUUGUGUUGGUUUAUUUUCUUUGUGUUGUAUGCUUGUCUGAGUGUGAUACACUGGUGCAUUUACACUGUUUGCCAGGGUCUGUUACACGACCAGGUGUAGUGCUGUUGCCAUCCCUGAGCUCAUAUUAGCAGCUAGUUAGCGAUUUCAGACUGUUACUCCGAGGCUAUUGAGACUUAUUCUUCCCCCCGGCAGUAUUAGUUUUUAAUGGGUUCUUGUAACCCCUGACUUAGCUUAUCCACACGGGAGACUGUUACUCCUGGGGCAUAGGGGUCUAUCUAUGCCCCAGGUGGUAUUAGUUCAUAUUGAGUUCUUUGUGACUCCCAACCUAGUUUCUCCACACAGUAGACUGUUACUCUUGGGCCAUAGGGGUCUAUGUCCCAGGUAGUAUUAGUUCAUUAUAGCUUCUGCUAUUCAUUGUAGCUGUAUCGGUAGCACUCCACUGGCGCUGAAUAGCGUGGUUGUCUUGUUUUUGUUUUGUCUUGUAUUGUUUCCUUUAUUGAAUGCCCCUCCUUCCCCCUGUUUGCUAGUAUGGCCUGCUAGGUCUAUUAGGUCACACAGUUAAGGUACUCUAGGACUGCCGCCUUCCCCUAGUUUGCGGUGAGGGCACAUUCUAGUGGUUGAGCGUGUACUGAACACCUAUUUAUACUCGUGUGGGUUGUAUUUAGAAAGCUUGAGUGUUACACUUGUGUUUGUGUGUGUGUAUGGCCAUAGAUCACUUUUGGGGCUGGGCAGCCGUCCGAGGGUUACUGUACCUGUGUUAAUUCAGGCCGUGUAGCAGCCACCAAUCCACUGGGCAUUUCAUUUAUGAUUAUGUGUAUUACAUUUUGUUUUCUUUGAUUAUUUCGUAUUGUGUAUUCUGAUUUUGUUUUUAUCGGAUUUACCUACUGUACACCCCUGCCAUCCAUUUUAAA